rnacentral:misc_RNA from 1 species
GAUGAAGAACGUAGCGAAAUGCGAUACGUAAUGUGAAUUGCAGAAUUCAGUGAAUCAUCGAGUCUUUGAACGCACAUUGCGCCCCCUGGUAUUCCGGGGGGCAUGCCUGUCCGAGCGUCAUUGCUGCCCUCAAGCACGGCUUGUGUGUUGGGCCUCCGUCCUCCUCCCGGGGGACGGGCCCGAAGGGCAGCGGCGGCACCGCGUCCGGUCCUCGAGCGUAUGGGGCUUCGUCACCCGCUCUUGUAGGCCCGGCCGGCGCUUGCCGACACAUCAAUCUUUUUUCCAGGUUGACCUCGGAUCAGGUAGGGAUACCCGCUGAACUUAAGCAUAUCAAUAGCGGAGGA